rnacentral:rRNA from 1 species
AGUGAACGCUGGCGGUAGGCCUAACACAUGCAAGUCGAACGGCAGCACAGUAAGAGCUUGCUCUUACGGGUGGCGAGUGGCGGACGGGUGAGGAAUACAUCGGAAUCUACUUUUUCGUGGGGGAUAACGUAGGGAAACUUACGCUAAUACCGCAUACGACCUACGGGUGAAAGCAGGGGAUCUUCGGACCUUGCGCGAUUGAAUGAGCCGAUGUCGGAUUAGCUAGUUGGCGGGGUAAAGGCCCACCGAGGCGACGAUCCGUAGCUGGUCUGAGAGGAUGAUCAGCCACACUGGAACUGAGACACGGUCCAGACUCCUACGGGAGGCAGCAGUGGGGAAUAUUGGACAAUGGGCGCAAGCCUGAUCCAGCCAUACCGCGUGGGUGAAGAAGGCCUUCGGGUUGUAAAGCCCUUUUGUUGGGAAAGAAAAGCAGCAGGUUAAUACCCCGCUGUUCUGACGGUACCCAAAGAAUAAGCAUCGGCUAACUUCGUG